rnacentral:tRNA from 1 species
UCCCCGGUGGCUUAAUCAGCAAAGAAUCUGCCUGCAAUGCAGAAGACUCAGGUUCGAUCCCUGGGUCAGGAA